rfam:Nomascus leucogenys chromosome 19, whole genome shotgun sequence.
CCGAGGGUCCACUCCUGAGACUCUUGAUAGUAUCAAGUCGCCCACGUGGGAAACUACAGAUACCAGUUUAUAUUUAAACUGCCUUGCUCCCU